AUACAGGGGGUGCGAGCGUUAAUCGGAAUUACUGGGCGUAAAGAGUACGUAGGCGGUUGCUUAAGUCAGAUGUGAAAGCCCCGGGCUCAACCUGGGAACUGCAUUUGAAACUGAGUGACUAGAGUUUAAGAGAGGGGACUAGAAUUCCGGGUGUAGCGGUGAAAUGCGUAGAGAUCCGGAGGAAUACCAGUGGCGAAGGCGGCUCCCUGGCUUAAAACUGACGCUGAGGUACGAAAGCGUGGGUAGCAAACAGGAUUAGAAACCCCAGUAGUCC
rnacentral:rRNA from 1 species